rnacentral:rRNA from 1 species
AACGAACGCUGGCGGCAUGCCUAACACAUGCAAGUCGAACGAGACCUUCGGGUCUAGUGGCGCUCGGGUGCGUAACGCCGGGGAACCUGCCCUUAGGUUCGGAAUAACUCCCCGUAGGGGGUGUUCAUACAGCUUAAUGUCAUCCGGCAAAAGAUUUCUCGCCAUUGGGUGGGCGCGGGUUGGUUUCGCUAGUUGGUAGGGUAUAAGCCUGCCAUGGCGUCGAUCCAUAGCUGGUCGGAGAGGAUGCUAUGCCACACUGGGGAUGAGACACGGACCACACUCGUACGCGAGGCAGGAGUAGGGAAUAUUAUACGAGGGACGAAAGCGUGGUCCAGCCAUGCCGGGUGAGUGAUCAAGGGCUUAGGGUUCUAAAGCCGUUUGAGCCGGGAUGAUAAUGACAGUACCGGGAGAAGAAGCUCCGGCUAACUCCGUG